AUGUGGGAAUCUGCCUUUUGGUUCGGAAUAACACGAGGAAACUUGUGCUAAUACCGGAUAAGCCUUUACAGGGAAAGUUUUAAUGCCAAAAGAUGAGCCCGCACUUGAUUAGCUAGUUGGUAAGGUAAUAGCUUACCAAGGCAACGAUCAAUAGCUGUUCUUAGAGGAAGACCAGCCACAUUGGGACUGAGACACGGCCCAAACUCCUACGGGAGGCAGCAGUGGGGAAUCUUGCACAAUGGGGGCAACCCUGAUGCAGCGAUGCCGCGUGAGUGAAGAAGGCCUUUGGGUUGUAAAACUCUUUCGUCGGGGAAGAAAAUGACUGUACCCGAAUAAGAAGG
rnacentral:rRNA from 1 species